GUGCCAGCCGCCGCGGUAAUACGUAGGGUCCGAGCGUUGUCCGGAAUUAUUGGGCGUAAAGAGCUCGUAGGCGGCGUGUCACGUCUGCUGUGAAAGACCGGGGCUUAACUCCGGUUCUGCAGUGGAUACGGGCAUGCUAGAGGUAGGUAGGGGAAACUGGAAUUCCUGGUGUAGCGGUGAAAUGCGCAGAUAUCAGGAGGAACACCGGUGGCGAAGGCGGGUUUCUGGGCCUUACCUGACGCUGAGGAGCGAAAGCAUGGGGAGCGAACAGGAUUAGAUACCCUGGUAGUCCAUGCCGUAAACGUUGGGCGCUAGGUGUGGGGACUUUCCACGGUUUCCGCGCCGUAGCUAACGCAUUAAGCGCCCCGCCUGGGGAGUACGGCCGCAAGGCUAAAACUUAAAUAAAUUGACGG
rnacentral:rRNA from 1 species